AGAGUUUGAUCCUGGCUCAGGACGAACGCUGGCGGCGUGCCUAAUACAUGCAAGUCGAGCGGACAGAUGGGAGCUUGCUCCCUGAUGUUAGCGGCGGACGGGUGAGUAACACGUGGGUAACCUGCCUGUAAGACUGGGAUAACUCCGGGAAACCGGGGCUAAUACCGGAUGGUUGUUUGAACCGCAUGGUUCAAACAUAAAAGGUGGCUUCGGCUACCACUUACAGAUGGACCCGCGGCGCAUUAGCUAGUUGGUGAGGUAACGGCUCACCAAGGCAACGAUGCGUAGCCGACCAGAGAGGGUGAUCGGCCACACUGGGACUGAGACACGGCCCAGACUCCUACGGGAGGCAGCAGUAGGGAAUCUUCCGCAAUGGACGAAAGUCUGACGGAGCAACGCCGCGUGAGUGAUGAAGGUUUUCGGAUCGUAAAGCUCUGUUGUUAGGGAAGAACAAGUACCGUUCGAAUAGGGCGGUACCUUGACGGUACCUAACCAGAAAGCCACGGCUAACUACGUGCCAGCAGCCGCGGUAAUACGUAGGUGGCAAGCGUUGUCCGGAAUUAUUGGGCGUAAAGGGCUCGCAGGCGGUUUCUUAAGUCUGAUGUGAAAGCCCCCGGCUCAACCGGGGAGGGUCAUUGGAAACUGGGGAACUUGAGUGCAGAAGAGGAGAGUGGAAUUCCACGUGUAGCGGUGAAAUGCGUAGAGAUGUGGAGGAACACCAGUGGCGAAGGCGACUCUCUGGCCUGUAACUGACGCUGAGGAGCGAAAGCGUGGGGAGCGAACAGGAUUAGAUACCCUGGUAGUCCACGCCGUAAACGAUGAGUGCUAAGUGUUAGGGGGUUUCCGCCCCUUAGUGCUGCAGCUAACGCAUUAAGCACUCCGCCUGGGGAGUACGGUCGCAAGACUGAAACUCAAAGGAAUUGACGGGGGCCCGCACAAGCGGUGGAGCAUGUGGUUUAAUUCGAAGCAACGCGAAGAACCUUACCAGGUCUUGACAUCCUCUGACAAUCCUAGAGAUAGGACGUCCCCUUCGGGGGCAGAGUGACAGGUGGUGCAUGGUUGUCGUCAGCUCGUGUCGUGAGAUGUUGGGUUAAGUCCCGCAACGAGCGCAACCCUUGAUCUUAGUUGCCAGCAUUCAGUUGGGCACUCUAAGGUGACUGCCGGUGACAAACCGGAGGAAGGUGGGGAUGACGUCAAAUCAUCAUGCCCCUUAUGACCUGGGCUACACACGUGCUACAAUGGACAGAACAAAGGGCAGCGAAACCGCGAGGUUAAGCCAAUCCCACAAAUCUGUUCUCAGUUCGGAUCGCAGUCUGCAACUCGACUGCGUGAAGCUGGAAUCGCUAGUAAUCGCGGAUCAGCACGCCGCGGUGAAUACGUUCCCGGGCCUUGUACACACCGCCCGUCACACCACGAGAGUUUGUAACACCCGAAGUCGGUGAGGUAACCUUUUAGGAGCCAGCCGCCGAAGGUGGGACAGAUGAUUGGGGUGAAGUCGAAACAAGGUAGCCGUAUCGGAAGGUGCGGCUG
rnacentral:rRNA from 1 species